GAGUGUGCAGCUUUGUGGCCUUAGCUUUGCAAAAGCUAUUGAGAAAGUGAUUAUUUUCCAUACUCU
rnacentral:tRNA from 1 species